AUGCCGCCGCCGCCGCCGCAGCGUCCAGUCCCCUCCCCCGCUGGGCGGGCUAACCUAUUUUCCUGUCCUCCCCCUCCCCCUCCUAACCGCCACAAUCCCAAGAACCGCGCCGUCCCUCUACUUCCCCUCCCACCUCGCCGCCGCCACCCCGAGAACCAUCACGAGCAAUCUUUCCAAGAACAAGCGGCAACGCCGGCUCCAAGAACCACCCACACCAACCCCGCCUUCCGCGCACCCCACCUGCGUACCUCCUACCGAAAACCCGUGCCCCCAGCCGCAGCCACAGGCAAGGGCGAGACCCUCCUCAGAACCGACCCCACUGACGCCGCCGCCGGGCGCUCUGUCGUCGUAGGCCCUUCCGGUGUCACAUUCCGUCUCCCCGGUGCUCCGUUCGACUUUCAGUUCAGCUACUCCGAGGCGCCCCGCGCCGCGCCGCUGGCCAUCCGGGAACCCCCAUUCCUGCCUUUCGCCCCGCCGACCAUGCCGCGGCCGUGGACCGGAAAGGCACCUCUGCUGACCAAGGAAGAGAAGGCCCGGCGAAGAGGCGUGCGGCUGCACACGCCGCUUGGCCAGGAGCCGCCACGAACGGUGAGUCCGCACGGGAUCAUGAUGGAGGUGAGGGGGAGGAGGCAGCUGGACUUCGCCAGGGUGAGCCCCGGCGACGGAAGGAGCCGGGAGGAGGUUCUAGGGGAGCCACUCACCUCAGCCGAGGUGCGUGAGCUCGUCAAGCCUCAUAUGUCGCAUAACCGGCAACUCAACAUUGGAAGGGAUGGGUUGACCCACAACAUGUUGGAGAUGAUACAUUGCCAUUGGAGGCGCCAGGAGGUCUGCAAAGUGAGAUGUCGAGGAGUACCGACUGUUGAUAUGGACAACCUUUGUUAUCACCUUGAGGAGAAAUCAGGUGGAAAGGUCAUUAAACGAGUAGGUGGAGUUGUUUUCUUGUACCGUGGACGAAAUUACAACCCACACACCCGUCCUCGUUAUCCAUUAAUGCUUUGGAAGCCAGCCACUCCUGUUUAUCCAAAACUCAUCCAGCAAGCUCCUGAAGGACUUACAGUGGAAGAAGCAGCUGAAAUGAGAAGGAGAGGACAGAUUCUACUGCCAAUUUUAAAGUUAGCAAAAAAUGGAAUAUAUAUCAAUCUUGUAAAGGAUGUUCAAGAUGCUUUUGAGGGAAAUGAUCUGGUGAAGAUUGACUGCAAAGGUUUGGAACCAAGCGACUACAAAAAGAUUGGGGCAAAACUGAGGGAUCUUGUUCCUUGCGUCCUUUUGUCAUUUGACAAGGAGCAGAUAUUAAUCUACAGAGGCAAAGGAUGGAAAUCCAGAUAUUUGAAGCCUCUCACCCCCGUUCCAAAAGUUGAAAAGAACAAUCUGGCAGUGUCAUCUGUUGUGGAUAGCUCAGGUGAAUCCGCUGGUGCCAGCAACAAUGUGACAAUAAGAGAAGUAUUGAGACCCAGAAUGUUUAAACUGUGGAAGCGUGCAAUAGAGUCAUCCAUAGCAUUGUCGCUAGAUGACGAUGAAGCCAAUGCACUUGCACCUGACACGCUUCUUAUGAGGGUUGAGGAGUUCAGUAUCACAUCGCAGGCUGUGGAGCAUUCAUUCCCAGCUUUGCUCGUGGGCAAUGGUAAGGAGGGCCCUGAAGCUCUAAAUGAGCCUGGUGAUGGAAUCAUUAGACCCCAAGAAAAUCAGUUUGAGAAAUCACUUUAUGCCGGCAAUGAUGAUCACUUUGAAUACGACAUGCUCGAGCGUCUGGAGCCAUCAGCGCCACUGGGGUCAUUACUGAUCGACUCCGUCAUAGAGCAGUUGAACAGCGAGUAA
rnacentral:rRNA from 1 species